CAAAAAAGGCAAAACAGACGAAAGUCUGUGACGCAAAGCUAGAGGGCCUGAAUCUUCAAAGUAUGGCAGCCAGCUGC
rnacentral:ncRNA from 1 species